rnacentral:rRNA from 1 species
AUACGGAGGGUCCAAGCGUUAUCCGGAUUCAUUGGGUUGAAAGGGUCCGCAGGCGGGAAAAUAAGUCAGUGGUGAAAGCCUACAGCUCAACUGUAGAACUGCCAUUGAUACUGGUUUUCUUGAAUGUAGAUGAAGUGGGCGGAAUGUGUCAUGUAGCGGUGAAAUGCUUAGAGAUGACACAGAACACCGAUUGCGAAGGCAGCUCACUAACCUAUUAUUGACGCUGAGGGACGAAAGCGUGGGUAGCGAACAGGAUUAGAAACCCUAGUAGUCC